AAAAAAAAAAAAAAAAAAAAAAAAAAAAAAAAAAAAAAAAAAAAAAAAAAAAAAAAAAAAAGAGCAGCAGGCAGGGUCCCCCGAAGCACCAAAACAAAUUCGCCUGGAUACCCAACGCCUACAACAAACAGUCGAUUUCUCUUUCUCUGGAAAACAUUUUUCUAAGGAAAACUAAUUCAUAUUUAUGACAGGAAGUUGGCGGAAAGUUUAGGCCGUAUUCCGAGAUUACGGGUGUGUGUCUACGUUGUAAAGAGCAGAUCGAAUGGAAGCGCCGUUACGGAAAGUACAAGUCCCCUGCCAAAUGGUUGUGCUAAGGAGCAGAGUGUAUCAAAACGCCGUUGCUGUGUGGGUCGUAUAGUGGGAAGAGAUUCUUCAGAAGUAGAGGCCAAGAAGUUGCUUGACGAGGCCAUUAAGAAUGUUUGAGAAAGAGACUGGAGGACUCUGCUACGUUCAUCAUGUGUGGAAUCAGAUGGAGACUUUUGCUGUGGCCUUUGCUGAACAUGAAAACCGUUUCCAGAAGAAGAAGGUGCAGAUAUGGAGAAAGGCUUUAAGUAACGUGGCAAAGCUCUCUGGAAAGACAUUAACUAAUGGGUAUCACUUGUUGAUCUUCUUAUAUUGAGCUUUUUUUCUGCUUGUUCUUACUUUAAAUGUAGUUGUUGAAAGGUUAACGUUUUCAUAAUCAUAAGAGCAUAAAAGAAUUACAGUACU